CCUACGGGGGGCAGCAGUGAGGAAUAUUGGUCAAUGGGAGAGAUCCUGAACCAGCCAAGCCGCGUGAGGGAAGACGGCCCUAUGGGUUGUAAACCUCUUUUGUCGGAGAGCAAAACCCGGGACGUGUCCCGGACUGCGUGUAUCCGAAGAAAAAGCAUCGGCUAACUCCGUGCCAGCAGCCGCGGUAAUACGGAGGAUGCGAGCGUUAUCCGGAUUUAUUGGGUGUAAAGGGAGCGUAGACGGCUGAGCAAGUCUGAAGUGAAAGGCGGGGGCCCAACCCCCGGACUGCUUUGGAAACUGUAUAG
rnacentral:rRNA from 1 species